rnacentral:rRNA from 1 species
UACGUAGGGUGCAAGCGUUAUCCGGAAUUAUUGGGCGUAAAGAGCUCGUAGGCGGUUUGUCACGUCUGCUGUGAAAACUGGAGGCUCAACCUCCAGCCUGCAGUGGGUACGGGCAGACUAGAGUGCGGUAGGGGAGAUUGGAAUUCCUGGUGUAGCGGUGGAAUGCGCAGAUAUCAGGAGGAACACCGAUGGCGAAGGCAGGUCUCUGGGCCGCAACUGACGCUGAGGAGCGAAAGCAUGGGGAGCGAACAGG